UACAGAGGGUGCAAGCGUUGUUCGGAAUUAUUGGGCGUAAAGCGCGCGUAGGCGGCUUUGUAAGUUAGAGGUGAAAGCCCGGAGCUCAACUCCGGAACUGCCUUUAAGACUGCAUCGCUUGAAUCCAGGAGAGGUGAGUGGAAUUCCGAGUGUAGAGGCGAAAUUCGUAGAUAUUCGGAAGAACACCAGUGGCGAAGGCGGCUCACUGGACUGGUACUGACGCUGAGGUGCGAAAGCGUGGGGAGCAAACAGG
rnacentral:rRNA from 1 species